GUGCAUAUAGUUUAACAAAAACGCCAGGCCGUGACUCUGGAAAUCGAAGCACCAAGCUUCUUAUGCACC
rnacentral:tRNA from 1 species